rnacentral:rRNA from 1 species
UACGGAAGGCAGCAGUGGGGAAUAUUGCACAAUGGGCGCAAGCCUGAUGCAGCCAUGCCGCGUGUAUGAAAAAGGCCUUCGGGUUGUAAAGUACUUUCAGUCGUGAGGAAGGUGUUAAGGUUAAUAACCUUAGCAAUUGACGUUAGCGACAGAAGAAGCACCGGCUAACUCCGUGCCAGCAGCCGCGGUAAUACGGAGGGUGCGAGCGUUAAUCGGAAUUACUGGGCGUAAAGGGCACGCAGGCGGUUAAUUAAGUUGGAUGUGAAAUCCCCGGGCUUAACCUGGGAAUGGCAUUCAAGACUGGUUAGCUAGAGUCUUGUAGAGGGGGUUAGAAUUCCAUGUGUAGCGGUGAAAUGCGUAGAGAUGUGGAGGAAUACCGGUGGCGAAGGCGGCCCCUGGACAAAGACUGACGCUCAUGUGCGAAAGCGUGGGGAGCGAAACAGGGAUUAGAUACC